rnacentral:tmRNA from 1 species
GGGGGUGUUCCGGAUUCGACCUCAAGUUGGAGCAUCUGGCUGCAUGUAGAGGAUGAUAGUUGGCCUCUUAAAUCGUCUAUCAAAAACACAAAUGGCACACACGAAGAAAUGCCUCUAGCUGCUUAAUAUAGCGCUACGUUCCCCCGCCGAUACUCGCUAGGCGGAGCGGAGCGACGACCAGCGAGCAUAGCCGAGAACGGGCGCCUCUUGCGCCUCGGCCGUACUUCACCAAGAGGCUGGCCUCGAAGGUAGCGCGGUUUCGUCGCGACCGAGAGGCGAGAUCAAAAACGAAAACAAACAUGUAGACGCCUUAUGUGAAGGCUCGAGGGACGCGGGUUCGACUCCCGCCACCUCCACCA